UGAGUUUGAUCAUGGCUCAGAUUGAACGCUGGCGGCAGGCCUAAGACAUGCAAGUCGAGCGAGAAAGCCCUUCGGGGUGAGUACAGCGGCGGACGGGUGAGUAACGCGUAGGAAUCUACCCAGUAGUGGGGGACAACUAGUGGAAACGCUAGCUAAUACCGCAUACGCCCUACGGGGGAAAGCGGGGGACCUUCGGGCCUCGUGCUAUUGGAUGAGCCUGCGUAAGAUUAGCUUGUUGGUGAGGUAAUGGCUCACCAAGGCGACGAUCUUUAGCUGGUCUGAGAGGAUGAUCAGCCACACCGGGACUGAGACACGGCCCGGACUCCUACGGGAGGCAGCAGUCGGGAAUAUUGCGCAAUGGGGGAAACCCUGACGCAGCCAUGCCGCGUGUGUGAAGAAGGCCCUAGGGUUGUAAAGCACUUUCAAUUGGGAGGAAAAGCUAAUGGUUAAUAACCAUUAGCCCUGACGUUACCUUUAGAAGAAGCACCGGCUAACUCCGUGCCAGCAGCCGCGGUAAUACGGAGGGUGCAAGCGUUAAUCGGAAUUACUGGGCGUAAAGCGCGCGUAGGCGGUUUUUUAAGUCGGAUGUGAAAGCCCCGGGCUCAACC
rnacentral:rRNA from 1 species